UUUUACACGUCGACGCUCGUUUAACUCGGAUACCUUAAAAACGGGCGAACGCGGACCACAUUUUUCGAUCGGAUAUCAUAGUUGACAUCUUGCUACAGCAGAUCUCUCAAUAACCAUCGAAACUUUUUCUCUACCGUUGUAUUAUAAUUGCAAUAAUAAUUUCGGACGAUCGACAGCGCGAGAAGUUUUUUCGUCCUUCGGGGUCUCGGGUUUAAGGAAGGCGGGGUAUAUCGGCUCGCAGGAGCACAGAGAAAGAAACCAAGAUGCCGGGGAACGGAAUCGAUUUGCUCGUCAAACUCUCUGCUUUCGAACCCGCUACUGAAACGAUGGAGAACGCGAACGUAUAUUCUCGGUGGCGAACUAUCGUCUCGACGUUCACGAAAACCGUUCGACGGAAGCUUUCCCCUUCCAGGGAUUUUACUUCGAACUAAUUCAGCGAGCCACCGGCGUUCUCAUUCGUUGUAUCGCCGUUUACCCCCUCCACGGUGUACAUGAAAUAUUAUUCGAACGAAUGGACCGCGGAUUUUUAUGGAAAAUAAACAGUUUCUGCGUUUGUUACGAAA